GGGUGGGUGGCUCAGUGGUUAGAGCCUAGGGUCUGGGAACGAAGGUCCCGGGUUCGAACCUCGCAAGAGACA
rnacentral:tRNA from 1 species